CAUUACGUGAAGGACGCGCCGGAGGUUAGGUGUGACCCCGCCGCUCCUACUUCCGGGUCAGUUUGUGCUUCGCUACCACCCCACUCUAGGGACAAACUUCCUGGAGGCCAGAAUGCCCAGGCCCAAGAGUCCCUUUUGGAAAUGCGAACCAGAGUGGAUUUGGCCAAGGUCCUCAAGCCAGACCCUGGAGGCCCCGUGGAGUCUCUGGGCGCCUAGAGCCCAGGCCCGCUGCCUACGGGCAAAGUGUCGAUAGGGACCUCAAAGACAGGGCCGCUCACCCUACACCCUCCCUAGGGUCUGUCCUCGCGGGACGGGGGGAAGAAGGAAACCCACUUCCGCCGCGUCCAUGAUCUCCCGCGGCUUCUCCUGACUCUUGCGGCUGGCGCUGGCGCUGGGCAUCUGGACAGCAGAACGUGGUAGCGGUCACCACCCUCCCUCGCAGAGUUCCGAAAGGCAGACCAAAGGCGCUUCUCCCUCCCGCACAGUCUCCGCCCUCCCAGCACUCGGUCUCAACACACGCGCUAACACUCCGCGCGGAGGGUCGGCUCCAAGAAGAUCGCGAUACCCGCAGCUGUCUCGAGAUUCCAGGGCGCGGUAUUUAUUCCAAGAGUGAGCACCAAUGAGUGUCCUGAAUGUUAAAUAUCUGUUCCUGGGUAACCCAACCUGUGAUAGCUGGUAUCAGAAGAUAUCCAAGAAAGUGGCCCCUGGGAUGGGAUUUUGGAUCUAGAUCACAUUCUGUCUGGUGGCAAUGAGGAUCCCAUCGCUGGUAGGAGGUGGAGUACAGAUACUCCCUGGCUCAAUGUGGCAGCACAAUUAUUAAAACUCUUACUAGUGAUGAACUGGGAUGGCAUACAGGAGGAAGAGAAUGCUAUAUAGCUCAUGCAACAUAGUAGGCUUUUGAGAAAUAUGGGGGAAAUGGUCACUUUAAGGACAGUGAAAUGUGGUGCCUAACCUUAACUCGACUCUGGAAAAAGAUAAUGAAAAUCUGAGAGUGAUUAACUGGCAAUUUAAAUCCAAGUGUGGAAUCCAGAGGGCCUUCUUGGUAGCUUAUGAAGAGGCUUGCAUCUCCUUCAGCAAGAGGGCAGAAAAGGCUGAGGAUUGGGCCCUGGAUUCAAUAAGAGUAGCUGAGUUCUAAAGAAGGUUAAACUUUCAACCAAGUCUAGCUGCUAUUCUGGGUGUAGGGCCUUGGUUGGGAAAGAAUAGGAUCCUGAGAUCUGGGAUGGGGACAUCUGGGUUGAUGCAUCCAAAAAUCUUGACUCCUCUGAGCCUGCAGCAGUGGCUCAUUCUUUCCUUUUAAGGGACUGCUUCUUCCUGUUAAGGGCUAUGCUGAAGAUGAUGUACAAGCCUUGCCCUGAAGGGCAGCAGGCACCUUUUCCCCUUAGGAUCUACCCUCUCCUCCUUUCCUGCCCACUAGGCUAAUAACUAGGGCUAAGUUACAAUACUACCCAGAUGGGGACAUGCUGGGCCUGCCCAGGAAGGAAAGGACUAUUCCCUAAAGGAACUGCAGGACCUAGCCAACUUAUAACAGCAGGAACCAGGAAGAACUGGAUUCUGAGGAUGCUGGACCAAAGUGGACAGAACAUAAAUUCUGAUAAAGGAGAGCUUAUUGAUAUAGGAACACUUUCCUGGCAUAUAGGAUUUAACACCCUGGCAAGGACCUCAAGAAAAUGGUUCAAGCAUGCUACUGUAUUAUCUCCUAGAAGCAUGGAGAAAGUGAUGGCUCACCUUGAUUGACGCAGAAAUGGCAGAUGGUGGAAGAAGGAAUUAAAAGGCUCAAAGAAGUGGCACGUGACAGUAGAAACACCAAGUAAAGGGAAAACCCCACCAAUGACCAUGUUCUGCAGAAGGGUCAGGAGGACUCACUAUUGACCAAAGCAAUAAAGAAUGGCCUGUCAUUGGGGCACUGGCAUCACUGAGAUGCUCAGCUGUGGCUGCCCUCUCUAAUGGGAGAUGCUGUUACAGAACUAGGUUCACAAAUAACUAUGGGGGUCAUGGGCACCCUAAGCAGAAGAGGCCCAGUGGCAUCACUUAACUGUCAAAGCCAGCCACCAGAAAGCAUCCACCAUGGAAGAGGCACUAAACAACUAGGCAGACAAAAUUAUUUGGCCAGUCAACACCAGCUGACUCUGUCAUCAACAGCCCACUGGGGUCAUGGAUACAGUAGCCAUGGAGUAGGGAUGGAGCUGUGUGUGGGCCCAACAGCAUGGAAAUAUUUGCUUCUUGUGCCCAUAAGUCUGGGCUUCAUGGUUGAGAUAUCCUGGCUCCUAAAGGAGAACACGAAUACUUCUGUCUGGGAACAGAGCAAGGUGUCCAGUUGCCUGGACACUUCAGACUCCUGUGCCAAGGGAUUAGCAGGCAAGAAGAGGGAUCACCAUCUUGGCUGGGGUAAAUGACACUGAUCAUCAGGAGGAUAUAGGGCUGCUCUUGCACAAUGAAGGCAGAGAGAAAUAAGGCACCCGGGUGAUCUCCUCGGGUCCUCUUUGAAUCCCUUUGCCCAGUUUUGAUGGUAAGUGGACAAGUGCAGCCACCCUGUGCUGUAAAGGACCUGGUUCCAGGGUUUCAGACCCAUGCAUAUGCUGAGUCAUGCCACCAAAUAAGCCACUGAGACCAACAGAUGUGCUAGCUGAGGGUGAAGGGAUUCUAGAAAAGUUGUAGAGGAAAAAAUUAGUUAUCUUUUGCAGCCCUGAGACCAACUGAAGUGAUAGGAGUUAUGGUUCAUCUCACCAGCCUUCCUCUCCUAAAUUUCCCCCAGAAUCCUGAAGGAGCUGCUUCCAGAGAUUAUGCAAAGAAGAGGAUCUGAGUGAUACAAGAGACUGCUUCCUGUGAAUGGCCUUCAAAACUGAAUCAAGAUCAAAAGGCAUGUUGCUGACAGCCAACUGAUCUCUUUGAGUGAAGCAAUGAAUAGACUGAUAAUGCAGAAGGUCUCUCCUCAGUUCACUGGGAAUGUACACAGAGAUGGAAUUUUGUCAGAAAUGAUGCCAAGGUACUUUCCUGCUUUAUAUCAUGGUUCACAAAAUAAGUGUUGACCAGAUGAAAAUUGUCUUCACUUAAAGCAUGGAUUUUCAAUGAUAAACAAGCAGUUAUCAAGUAAAUUAUGGCUCAGUUAAAAAUAAAAAAAGUCCUGGGGAAAAAGUUAUUAAGUACUUCUCUUUGUGCCCCAUCAGAACUGAAUUUUUUCCAUGUAUAAAGCAAACUAUCUGCACAGACACAAUACUACUUUUCUCCCACAUUGUAUAUCACUGGGAUUAUGCAACUUCUACCAAUGUCUUUUGAUAAAGAAAUUUUACUAAUACUUUGUUCUGUUUCUCUCCUAACAUAAUAUAAUAUUUACCAAGACUUUUGCAGCUGGCUUUGGCAAACUUCUUGGCAACAGUGUGGCAUAUACCUGCAAUAGUGUGGCAUGUACCUGUUUCCUACAGGGCAUGCAUACUUUAAGAUGCCUCUGUAGUUUUGGCUUCUUUAUGAGCAACAAAAUUCGUCAAUCUUGUACUGGUAAGCAUUCUCAAUUUUUGCACUUGUUCUGGAAAAACCUAUUAUUCUAUCGGAGAAGCCAUUGUUCUCUGUUGGAAAAUGAUACUGAAGCUUCCAUAGUUUCCUGAUGUUAUUAGAAAAAGAAUGUUUAAAAAUGUUUACAACAGAUGCUACCCUGGAGUGCUAGGGGAAAUUUAUCACCAGUCCAAUACAAGCCAAUUUUCAGAUUUUUCUGGACAUACUUCCUAUUCUUGAAUUUUAUUUUUGUUAGCUUGUAAAAGAUCAUCACAGUCAUGUUCUCACUUCUUCCAGCACUUACUGCUUCACCUCCCUCACCUGUCCUUGAGUAAUGAGGACACCUCAUUACUUCACCUCCCUCACCUGUCCUUGAGUAAUGAGGAUGUCACCUGUCCUUGAGUAAUGAGGAUGUUAUCCUGCAUUAUGAUAUUUACAUUACUAUUUUCAUUUUCAUCAUUCCCACUUUUGGGCCAUGGAUUCAUUUUUGUAAAUUAGGGAUAAUAAUGCUAUUAACAAGUAAAAAUACAAAUUCAAUAAACACAAUUAAUGACAUAUGUUACUGUGCUGGUUUGAAUGUAUUAUGUCCCCCAGAAAAAGCCGUAUUCUUUGAUGCAGUCUUGUGGGGAUUAAGCUGGAACUUUGGAUUAGGUUGUUUGCAUGGAGAUGUG